rnacentral:rRNA from 1 species
GAUGAACGCGGCGGCGUGCCUAACACAUGCAAGUCGAACGAAGUAUAUAUAGGAAGUCUUCGGAUGGAAUAUGUAUAACUUAGUGGCGGACGGGUGAGUAACGCGUAAGUAAUCAACCUGUGACACACGGAUAACUGAUAGAAAUGUCAGCUAAUACGAGAUGAACUGUUUAGAUUGGGAAAUGGAAACAGCAAAGCGAAAGCGGUCACAGACGAGCUUGCGUCUGAUUAGCUAGUUGGUGGGGUAAGAGCCUACCAAGGCGACGAUCAGUAGCCGGCCUGAGAGGGUGAACGGCCACAUUGGAACUGAGACACGGUCCAAACUCCUACGGGAGGCAGCAGUGGGGGAUAUUGCACAAUGGGGGGAACCCUGAUGCAGCAACGCCGCGUGAGUGAAGAAGGCCCCUAGGGUUCGUAAAAGCUCUGUCGUAUGGG